rnacentral:lncRNA from 1 species
UUUUUUUUUUUUUUCUUUUUAGGACCACACCCAAGGCAUACAAAAAUGCCCAGGCUAGGGGUCAAAUUGGAGCCGCAGCUGCCAGCUGAUACCACAACCACAGCAACACCAGAUUCACGCCCCAUUUGCAAUCUAUGCCACAACUUGUGGUAAUGCUGGUCAGGUCUUUAACCCAUUGAGCUACAAUGGGAACUCCCCACAUCUCUUUUUAAAUAUCUCUUUUCUUCAGGUUUCUUUUUAAAUUAUAUUUUUGGAGACUACUCACUGUCUAACAAAACUUACAUUCAAUGGAAGGUAAUAAUUUUUGGCAUCAAAGGUACAAAGACAUACCAUAUAAGUAACUAUCAAAAGACUUUUCAAAAUAGUAAUAUGAAAGAACGCUUAAUUUUCAGGAGUGCAAUAUUUGGGACAUGAGUCAUAUUCAUUUUCACAAAGCAAAACUUCCUGUAACCACAUAGGAAAUAUGCCCCUUGUUGCAAAUGGUACAGUCUAAUUGUGGGAAAGGCGUGAAAUACAACUUGGCGUAUUUUGUGUUAAAAAGUGUGUAAUUUGUGUUAAAAAGGAGGACGUCAGCAGCACUGCACCCAAACUGAAAUCAGUGUCUGUACAGGUGGCUCCCUUUACCCCUGUAUGUUCUCACUCUUGUCAAUUACCUCUUUUCAGACUCUCCCAGGCUGGUGGCCGAGUGACUUCCUGAAAUACACUGAUUUCCUUCUGCUGAAGCAUGGAAUAAGCUCUCUUUAGCCUACCACUCUUUGAGCAGGAGAAACAAAAACAAAACAUCCUAAACUAUGUGAGCGUACGCAUUUUUGUGAACAAUAAUGAUCCUUUUCUAACAUUGGGUGAUAUGUAAUUAUUCAGGUAUUUUCCAAGCUAGAGUUCUCUAAACUCAUGGAGUAAUGGAGCUAGAAGUUACUAUAUAGUUCACCUAAUGCAACUUUCCAUUUAUGGAGGCAAAUUUUGCCCUAGAGCCAGAGGAUUGGUCCUAAUCCUUCUCUCCAAAGCAUGAAAAUGAUAAUUUUUACCACAUCACCAUUCCAUUGGGAUUGUUCUUUAUUCUCUUAUCCCACACACUGGAAGUGUUUAUUUAUUCUGAGUGAUGAAAGACUUGUGUAUUAGCUCCACAAAAUACACAAAUAGGCUGCCUUGACUAAAACACUCAUUUAAAUGGCUAAAUAGUAAGUGCUCAUUAAUGCUGAAAGCAAGUGCUUCAUGUAAAUUGUUUUGAAUAGGCUAUAGCCCAUUAGAACCUAUGAUUAAUUAGAUGUUCAAAAUAUAACUGAACAGAGCUGUUACUCUGUCUUUGUGAUGAUCUGAUGUUGCUAUCAGAUUCUACUGAGCGUAGGUCAGAGCUUCCAGAUGCUUCAGAGUAUGCCAUCCUAGGAAGUAAACAGUUACCUAGUGGGAAUUCAGAUGGCCCCACACUUUCUGUUAGGUAUCUUUUGGCACUAAGAAUCCUGACUGAUAAGAAAUUGGUAAAAGGAGUGAGAAUAGGGAAACUUUAAGAACAGAGUCUGAUGGAAAUGCAAAAAUAUCUGGGGUCUGUUAUCUGGUAUGCUUGUACUUCAACACAAUAAAAUUAAGCUAAUAGUAAAGGCAUGCUACCCUAACAGCCUAUUCAUUCACACUUAAUCAAAUGAUCACUUAGAAUGAAAUACUGAAGAAAGGACUUUGGGCAACCUCAUGGCUAAUGCCAUAAGACAAUCUAAAGAGCAUGACUGGAGGGAUUAUAUGUCCAGUUUCUCUUGCAUAUUUUAUGCCUAUUGUACCAGCAUAAUUUUCCUUGGCAUAUCACUCCCUUUCACUAUCCAGACCAUCCUGGUGUGAUAAAUCCUAUGUUCAACCUAGGAUGAAAAGAUGGAGGAAAGUUGGAUGGAGUCGUUGCUUUUGGUUGAGUCCAGACGGUGAAAAUUCGUAAAUGGUGAUGGACUUGGAUGGCAGUGCUUUACAAAACAAGCAAGUAAACACACAAAAACUUUAUCCUUGAAGUUACUGAGCUAAAAUGGAAAACCUAAAACUCAAUUUGAUUCAAAGCGUUGUUGAAUACUGUCAACUGAACCUGCAGCAUUUCCCAGUCUCUUAGGUGAAAACUAGAGCAGUUAUUGAAAAAGAGUUGAUCUGUAAGAACAGGAAUGAGGAUAUUUGGAAGCCGUUGAAUGUCUCAAAGAGUAGUCUCUUCUUCCUUUGAGGUUAAGGCUGUAACUGCCUUGCUUGAAGAUCCUAUAAUAAUCUUACCCAAGGAAGUUAUCAAACAGGGGAAAUCCGAGUCCUUGUGCCUGAUCUCCACUGACCUUGAUGCUCUCCAGGCCUAUAAUCCCUGGAGAAGAGCCGUUCAAGGUCCUAUUUGAUUUUUGUAACAACAGCAACACCCCUCUAGACUUGGAGAGAGGGUCCCAGCUCUUCACCUAAUUCUAGACCUGAGUCCCUACACAGACAUCCGUAAAGCUUUGAGAGGAUGCAGGAUGCAUUUAAGAAAGGACCUUGUCAUACUUCACAAUAUGUUCUAUAAUUUUCUUCCUAGUUUCCACAAAGGAAACUCUUCCUGGACCAGAGUAACUGUGCGCUGGGGAGAGGGAGACCCCCAGAACAACCUCUGGGGAUAUUUGGACCUUGGCUCUGAGCUAACACUAAUUCUAAGAAAAGGAGUCGACAGUCCUUGUGGUUCAGUAGUUAGAAUGGAGGCUAAAAGAAUUCAGGUAAUGAAUAUAGUUGUGAACCAAAUCCAGUUUAGGGAGGCCCAGUGGUUCCUGAACCCAUCUGAUGAUUAUUUUCUUGUUUUCUAAAAGCAGUGUCUGUAGAGAUAACCUCAGCCAAUGGUCUGAUCCCCACACUGGAUUCUUAGUCCCUGAAGUAACAGUUUGUAUCUAUUUUUCUGGCUUAAUAGUAGCACUCCAGUUCACCAUCAAAAGUAAACUGGUUUUAAUGAUAAAUUAUAUAGUCACUCUAGCUAUUAUGGUAGGAAGGAUCAGUCCCUGUCCUUAGAACUCCCCAUCCCUGUCAGAAAGCCAAUCAAACCCUGUAUCAUGUCCUUGGGAGGUGACUGGGAGAGUUGGGGGCGGAGAUGCAAAGUUAAAUGCUACCUUCAAGGAGUUCCUGUUGUACCUCAGGGAAAACAAAUCUGACUAGUAUCCAUGAGGACACAGGUUUGAUUCCUGGCCUUUCUCAGUGAGUUAGGGAUCUGGCAUUACCGUGAGCUGUGGUAUAGGUUGCAGACAUGGCUUGGAUCCUACGUUGCUGUGGCUGUGGUAUAGGCCGGCAGCUGUACCUCCAAUUUGACUCCUAGCCUGGGAACCUCCAUAUGCCAUGGAUGAGGGCCUAAAAAGCCAAAUAAAUAAAAUAUAAAUAAAUAAAAAUAAACAUUCUCAUCCACUUAUCAUAAACUUUAUCUGUUUUUCAAAUCAUAGUUGCCCAUCCAGAUAUAGUUUCUUCACUGGAACAAUAAAAGUAGUUUUUGGUUUGCCUCUAUUGAACUGGCAAAUGCUUUUCAAUAAACAGAGAAUCUCACAAGUUUAUUUUCUCUUAGUAGGAGCAGUAGUAUAUAUAUCUAGUUUCAGAUCACAAGAGCUUUUGAACUCUAUUCCACAAUUUGGACUAUAGGGUACCUGAUUGUCUCACCAUUUCAUACGGCAUCACCCUAGACUAAUACAUUGUUGUUUCAUGCUGAAAAUACCCUAUCAUAUUUUCCUGUGAUACGGGAGGUGACUAGUUAUAUAAUUUCUUGGAUGCAGUCUCCUGAAAUCUCCUGUAUACUUGUCUAGGUUUCAUUCAAGGGAUUAAGUUACACCGCAAGGUCUUUCCUGCAGAAGCUUGGGAGGAGGUGAAGGCCGAGUAGGUCAAGGUGAAGUGUUUUCCUAAGCAGCCAAAAGCAGCAGAAUCAAGGAAGUGAGUGUAAAUCAUGCUGGAGGAGGGACGCCAACAACAAGAAAUAAGUUAUGAUGUCAGAUGUUGGGAAGGCAGGAGUAAAUCUGGAAGUAGAAGUGUCAGGGAAAAAGCUUUCCGCAUGGAGUUCAUAAAAGAUGCCAAAGUGCCAGGUAUGGGGUAUGUGAACAGCCCAGAAAUUGUUGAUGCCAUGUGGAAACAGGCACCAGUCAGAACUCUUCUGGGUCAGAAUUCCCCCUUGUGGCUCAGCAGGUUCCUGACACAGUGUCUGUGAGCACAUGGGUUCGAUCCCUGACCUCACUCGGUGGGUUAAGGAUACAGCAUUCCCACUGGCAGCUACAGCUCCAAUUUGACCCCUAGUCCAGGAACUUUCAUGUGCCACAGGUGUGGCCAUAAAAACAAACAAACAAACAAACAUCUUCUGGGCCAGAGGAAGGAGGCUGAGUUAUAGGUAGCUGCUUAGCAUGUUAAAACCUCUUGAUUUCUUUCCAGGCAUCACCGAUUAUCCAAAGCCAGUCAUCCUUAGAAUCAGGUAGGCUUUUGCCUCCCUAUGUCCUUAGCAUAGUUGCCGGGAUGCAGAGCUCUGCAACUAGGGGAUGCCUCCCGUAUCCCUUUCUGGGUCACUGGGCUACCUUUGCCUGUGAAAAAGAAAGGCGAUCCCCUCUGCCUCAUCGAGUUUCGAGAGAACUCUCUGCACCUCUUGCUGCACCUUUAUUUGGAGCAAGAACUGGGCUGCUUACAAGUAAUGGAGUUCCUCCAAAACCAAGCAGUUUGUCUUCCUCUUACAUGUUUGAGAGAUUAGAAAUUAUUCUAUGACACAUUGGCUUUAUAUGGUUGAAAUAUCUUCAAAAAGCUCAAGGAAAAGGAAGGGUGAUUGAUCUUGUGAGCAAUGCCAUUUAUAGUGUAUCAGUGCAAAAUCCCAACAAAUCAGAAGAGAAGAGAAAGGAACCAAACAUUAGAUCUCUUAGGCAAAAUAUGUAGUAACUUGAAACAAAUGAAUGCUAAUGUUUGGAAGCUUCAAAACAAAAGAAUUUAAACAAUAUGCAGGAAUAGUUUUUUAUAAAUGCUAUCAUACCUUAAAGCCAAGUUACUAUGUAUAAAGUGAUUUCUGAAUUCCCAAACAGCUUGCAUUUUUCUAGAGUUUUGAGUCUCAAUCAUUUAAUAUUUGAUGAAUUUGAAAGCAUUAUAUUUGAUUUCCAUGGUCUGAUUUUAUCUGUUGUUAACAUACCCUUAAUUAAAUUGUUGCCUGCAGUUGAAGGUA